rnacentral:rRNA from 1 species
UACGUAGGGGGCGAGCGUUGUCCGGAAUCAUUGGGCGUAAAGAGCGUGUAGGCGGUCCGGUACGUCCGCUGUGAAAGUCGGGGGCUCAACCCUCGAAUGCCGGUGGAUACUGGCGGGCUAGAGUGCGGAAGAGGCGAGUGGAAUUCCUGGUGUAGCGGUGAAAUGCGCAGAUAUCAGGAGGAACACCUAUUGCGAAGGCAGCUCGCUGGGACGUAACUGACGCUGAGACGCGAAAGCGUGGGGAGCAAACAGG